UACGGGGGGGGGCAAGCGUUUGUUCGGAAUUACUGGGCGUAAAGGGCUCGUAGGCGGCCAACUAAGUCAGACGUGAAAAUCCCUCGGCUUAACCGGGGAACUGCAUCUGAUACUGGAUGGCUUGAGUUCGGGAGAGGGAUGCGGAAUUCCAGGUGUAGCGGUGAAAUGCGUAGAUAUCUGGAGGAACACCGGUGGCGAAGGCGGCAUCCUGGACCGACACUGACGCUGAGAAGCGAAAGCCAGGGGAGCAAACGGG
rnacentral:rRNA from 1 species